CAGGCUCCGCGCUCCUCCUCCCCUCCUCCAGAUGGGACUGGCUCUCCUCUUUGCAAAGCCAGGCUCGCGGGGAGACGUGGUGAGCAGUAGCCAGCAGCUGGUGUGCCGUGGACGCCGCUGACCGCCGCGCGCCCGAACCGGGUGUCCACAUGAGUGCCUCUCCCAGCAGAUCCAGCUCACGGUCUAGGAAGGAAGAUAAACGUAAAGCAGAAGAGUCAGACACCUUGUUAAUGACUACGAAGAGGUAAGAACAAAGUGUCAUAGGAACGCCAAGUCCAGAGCAGUGAGCAGAACAGCCCAGUUGAAUCUGAG
rnacentral:lncRNA from 1 species